rnacentral:tRNA from 3 species
CGCGGGAUGGAGCAGUCUGGUAGCUCGUCGGGCUCAUAACCCGGAGGUCGCAGGUUCAAAUCCUGCUCCCGCAACCA